AAGCGCUUACUGACAGCUGAUAAAUGGGACUCUGAAGAGCCCGAUCCCGCAGCCCGACCCGGAGUGGAAAAAACAGAUGAAAUGGAAAGUACAAAUUGCUCUAGAGAUGGGAGUCCAGCUACAGGGAAUCCGGGGGAGAGGAGGCAGGAGAAGGCACUCAAAGUCCACAAACUAUUUAGUGAUGCAUUCAGCAGAAAGGUAAAACGUGAGUGCAGUGAAAAGGGAAAGACAGGUAUGGCCGGAGAGGAAAAACUGAUUUAGGACGGACUCGAGCUGAAGUUGGGAUUCUCGUGGCGACGACGAGAAAUUUUAGCAGCGGCACUAUAUAAAUAUCCCUCUCUCUGCCUACCAAAAGGCAACAGAUAGGGACUGGAAUAUCAGCUUGAAUACCAAUUUAGGAACUCACGCUCCUUUGGAAGUGCUAAUUGGGGGGGGGGGGGGGAUCUGGGAAAAAGAAGGGAAAACUGUAAGGAGCUGAGGAGAAAAUCAACCAGUGGCAGAGUACUGCAAACCCAAGAAAGUCUAUCUGCUGUAUUUUUGCAUUCCAAAGGUAAACAUGAAAGAGUCUUUCAAACUGUCAGGGGCCCGCAGAUCAGGUGGGCAAACAGCGCUACAGAGCUAACGUCUCCCUCUUUUGAUAUUAUUCACACCUAGGCUAAACUGUUGUUAAGAUGGGAGUGCGGAAAGCAACCUCAAGCCCACAAAAUGAGAGAGAGAGAGAAGUUGUUGAUUCAUCUCUGUAUUUUUGGCACUUUCUCCCCGUUUUCCAGAAGGCGCCUGGAACAUAGAAAUUUGUGGACUAUGUUAGACGCAGAAGCACACUCAGCCCCACUGUGAAUGAACCUUGCUUCAUAAGGACGUGAUUAAAAUUGAGCAUUAACGGGAUGGCACAGGACAGACCUGACUUGGCUCUAUUUCAUUUUGUUAACAAGGUGUAAAACUCGACACACUACUGGAGUCAUGCACGUUGCAUCCUCUACCUUUGCUAUCCGAGGUGCUAUUGUCCCUCUCGAGUAGAGUCCAGGGAAAAUGAGUUGCUAAAUCCAGGCAGCGCAGGCAGAUGUUGAGGAAGGAUGCUGACCUGCUGGGGGUCCCUGCAGAGGGAAGGGACCGGAGGCGCUCAGAUCACGUCGGGACACUUACCUGUUCACAGCUGUCAUUGCAUUUUGUGCCGUCUGUCUCAUUAAACACGUUAAAGUAAAGCAAUAUUCAACA